GAUGAACGCUGGCGGCGUGCUUAACACAUGCAAGUCGAACGAACCUUCGGGUUAGUGGCGGACGGGUGAGUAACGCGUGGGAAUCUGCCCUCAGGAGGGGGAUAACGGUUGGAAACGGCCGCUAAUACCCCAUAUGCAGAGAGGUGAAAUGAAUUUCGCCUGAGGAUGAGCCCGCGUCUGAUUAGCUAGUUGGUGAGGUAAGAGCUCACCAAGGCAUCGAUCAGUAGCUGGUCUGAGAGGAUGAUCAGCCACACUGGGACUGAGACACGGCCCAGACUCCUACGGGAGGCAGCAGUGGGGAAUUUUCCGCAAUGGGCGAAAGCCUGACGGAGCAACGCCGCGUGAGGGAU
rnacentral:rRNA from 1 species